rnacentral:rRNA from 1 species
UACGUAGGGUGCGAGCGUUGUCCGGAAUUAUUGGGCGUAAAGAGCUUGUAGGCGGUUUGUCGCGUCUGCUGUGAAAAUCCGGGGCUCAACCCCGGACUUGCAGUGGGUACGGGCAGACUAGAGUGUGGUAGGGGAGACUGGAAUUCCUGGUGUAGCGGUGGAAUGCGCAGAUAUCAGGAGGAACACCGACGGCGAAGGCAGCUUACUGGGCCGAUACUGACGCUGAGGAGCGAAAGCGUGGGAGCGAACAGG